UCAUCGUUACAUCUUCAUAUAACCAAUCCCCAAACCCUAACCCGCCGUCUCCUUUCUUGCACCACCUUGGGGUGGCGGCGCCUGUCCCAUUCAGCCCCAAAAUAACAUCCCGAAUUCUUCUCAACCCUCUCAUUCCAAAUACCUGAACUAUUUUCCUCGAAUAUAAUCCAGUCAUCUCGAAUCUUCAAUCAAACGUUUGACCAAAAACCCCAAUCCUCCCAAUCCGGUCAAAAUCGUACCCUACAGUCUUCUAGGUCUCCUCAAUCUGAAUUCCAAGUCAAGAAUCUUCAAAUUCAAGUGAAGUUCUGCCAAUUGCAAAUCUAGGGUUUGGCCCUUUUGACGUUAAGAGCUGAAUUGACCCCUGCAAUGGUUUCCUAGUUUCAAGCGUGUAGUGAGUUCUCCUCUUUUACUUUGUUUACGGUUCUUUCUCUUUGGCCCUUCUGGGUUUCUCUUUUGUUUUUUCUAUUUUCAGUGUGGUUAAUCUAUGUUCUUUUCCUUGGUAUUUUAAUAUGAAUUAACAAAUAUAGUUUGUUCGUUUUAAGUGUGUUGCUUAGGCAUGAGUAUUAAAGUCAAGCAUGUUGAUUUUUUCGAUCAGUUUAGGUGUCGUCUGAUCACUGUUUCAUCAUUGUUCGCCGGUUUUAAUUUUUUGCUUUACGAUUCAAUUGGUUCUCAUUUGGUUUAAUUUUUCUUUUGAUCAUGUGUUGUGAUAUUUGAAGUGUGUUUUGACAAGUUUUAGUUUUAUUAGUUAGUUAGAUUAGAUCGCUCUUUGAAUCAUUUUUUCAUUAGUAAAAUUGGAUUGGUUUUUUAGCUUUGUUAAUUCACUAGUUAUGGCUUUAUUAAGCUCUUAGAAUAAUUGUAGUUAAACUUCAACUAGGGUUAUUUCAGUCUAGUAAAAUUCAGGGUAAAGGCAGGGGUAGUUUGGGCAUUUAACCAUAUGAUAGAAUAGAAUCCCCAGAAUCUUUUAGAAUGGGGCUCAAGUUUAUAUUUCAGUAAGUUUAGGGUUCAGUCUAGUAAAAUUCAGGGUAAAGACAGGGGUAUUUUGGGCAUUUAACCAUAGGAUAGAAUUUUGUAGAUUAGAAUAGAAUUCCCUAGAAUCUUCUAGAAUGGGGCUCACAUUUAGAUUUUAGUAAGUUUAGGAUAUUAACUUGAGUGACAAGUCAGAACUUCAGGACUAUCUGAAUAAAAUCUUAAAACAAAGAGGGGGAAAAUGAAUGAGGGAAUUCUAGAAUCUUCCUACCCCCUUCUUGCAUAUAAAAGGCAGCCCCAAUGCAUUAAGAAACAAUUUUGGAAGCCCAAAAAUUCCCCUAAAAACCUUUCCUGCAUAUCUGAAUCCCUAGUUUGAAUUUCAAAUUUAGAAUUUUAAAAAUAUGAACUCUUAUAGUUUCCACCUUCUUUUAGAUCUGAAUUCCUAUUCAAAAAUCCAAAAACAAACAGAAAUAUAGUAAAAAAAAGGUAUUGUUUCAUUGAAAUUUUAGUAUGAUUUUGAUUUCUAGUUGUUAAUUCACAUCUUCUCGUCCAAUAUCUAUUGGCUGGGAGCUUUAGAGGUGUCCUGGUUCAAAUUCGAGCUAGUUUUGGUUUACAUGAGUUGUGUUGGUCGUUCAAACUGCAUUUGGUUAAUUCAGUCAGUUUUUGGGUCUAGUUGCUGUUGUUUCUCGCUACUAGUUUUACAAAAUUCAAGCUGAAAUAGCUGUGAUAGUCCUUCACUGCUUGAAUCUGUGCCUCUCACAUUGCUGCUGAUCUCUCCUUUCCUCAUUUCUCUUAUCAAAUUCCAGGUACACACUCUGGACUAACUCAAUGUAGCUUCUCCUGUCAAACAAUGAAAUGAAACGGAGGCGAUUCUCUACUGUAGAUCUACUGUUUGAUAAUUCUAUCAUGUUUAAGUAGAUUUUCUGUGAUUUGGUUGGUCGUUCAAUGUAAUUAACUUUGGAUUGUAAUUAGGACUGCUUUAAAGUGAUUUGGACUGUCUUUUCUGGACUUUCAAUUUGUAGUAAUUGAUCAAACUCUAUAAUUGUAUAAUUGUUCUAAUGGUGGCAUUAUUUGUGAACACUAGAAUUAGCAGGCUAUUAACACUAGAAAAAUAGGGGGCAAUCAUUGAGAUUUGAAUAGAGUAUUUUAAAAAUUGUGUUAAAUGGACUGUGAGCUAUAUUUGUAUAAUCCAUGUCGGUGUGGUUGUGUUAAUUUAAGCAUUGUUUGAGGACCGACUGAAAAUGAGUAUUAACUUAGGAUUUAACCAAAUAUGAGCAUAAUUCUCUAGGUUCUUCGGAGUUUAGUUUACUUUUGGAAAUCAUAAACAUCAUAUCAAUACGAUAGGUGUUGCGUCUCCUGUUUAACAGACGUUGGCUACGCUAAUUCAUUCAUUGAGUUCAAUAAUUAAUUAUAGUACUUCCUUGGAUUAUAUCUAAUCAGAAUACAAGUUAAAAUAAGAUUGAUGGUUGCUGAGUUGAUCGAAUUUGGAAUUACCUUCAGUUGUUACUCAAAAUUCUGAACCUAAUUGUGCAAACUCAACCGUGAGUACUUAGCUGAUCCUAAGCAUUCUGAGCUUAACAGCCCAUUCAGGUGUUUUGGUGUCACUGAUGCCUGAGCUACUUAUGUUUAUGAUGUAGCGUUCGAAAUGGGCCUGUAGUAAGGCCCAAGGAUGGUUGGCCGCUCCUGAAAUAAAAAAGCUGGUUAUUUAUAUUGGGCUGAACUUGAGAACAGAUACACUAACGACUCUCACUCCUUUAAUCAUGAUUUAGUUUAGGCUUUGGGCCUAUAAAUUAAAUUUCUUUUAGAGAUAAUCCCUUAAUAGAUAACCAUAGUCCAUUUCGAGGAUGCCUUUUAUAUAAAUGAGACGAGCCUCGCUGAACAAAACACAUAAAUUGCGGGACCCUCGAUAAAUACCUGUAUUAAAUACUUAGAAUUCAGGAUGGGCCGCCUAGCAAAUAUUGUUUUACCCAAAGAUAAUAACGUGUUAGUAUCUUUAGGCGCAUAUUAUAAUAACAUUACCUACUAAACUCGGGUGCACAAUUAUAUAACCCAAAUCCAAAUCUCAACGAAGUCGAAAUAUGUCAACAACCACGGGUGUAUUUAUGUGACGUGGUUCGAGAAACGUUUUUACGACAUUGCAAUUCUCGUUAAAAAUAAUAAUAAAAACGAUUAAGAUUAAAAGCACAUAAGAAAAAAUAUGUUUUGAAAUAAGAUAAUAUUCCAAAUAUAACAGUUGAGCAACCUUUCUAGAACCACGGAACCCGGGAAUGCCUAACUCCUUCUCCCGGGUUAACAUAAUUUCUUACUCGAAUUUUUGGUUCGCGGACUGUUAACAGAGUCAUAUUUUUCUCAGUUCGGGAUUCAAUCGGUGACUUGGGACACCAUUAAUCUCCUAAUUGGCGACUCUGAAUCCUAAUAAUAAAUCCCAUUCCCAUUGUCCUUUAACUAGAAAAACUCUUUUAUGCCCUUGCAGGUGUAGUGAAAAAGAAGGUGUGACAGCUAUGGCGACUCUGCUGGGGAGGCAAACCCAGAACUUCGGUUCAAGUUUAGGAGUUCGAUCUUAGAAUAAUUGUUAUGUUUGGCUUUAUCUGAUUUUCCUACAUGUUUCCUACUAAAUGUGCUUAAUGCUUUACCGCUUUGAUAUUAUCUGAACUGUAUAUAAAUUGUGCCGAAACCCUUCUCUUCUCACCUCCGGGGAUGUGCUUACUGGUUGAGACUCCCUAUUAUGUUAGUGUCAUACCCUGAAGUAAGAAAGAGGCUCGGAUAAGAUACAAAACCGAACAAUAUUGCGGGUCCCCAGUACGUAGCCCCCUACUCGACUUGAAUUGUCCGCUCAGGUACACAGUCUAGGACAUAUACUCAGGUUUUGAACCUAGAUUAAUUUGACUUCAUGCUGGAUCCCUAGUAGGAACGCUUAUUUGAAUCACGUGCAUUUGUCGUAGGGACUCAAUACAGGGGCUGGGUCUGUCUAGGAAAGGUAACCUGAAAUGGUAAAGACCAUCAUGAUGCAUCUUACGUGUUGCAUAUGCAUUUAUUUGUCUUGGACUUGCAUGUUGACCAGCUUUGGAGUAUUUGGAAAUAAUUUAAAAAAGGGAAAGAAAUAGCAACAUAGAGAGUUAAUUAUCUAUUUUAGAAAAAUAACCAAUGUCAAAAUAGUAUCGAAACUCCGUCAAUUUUUUGAGAAAAAUGGAAAGGACGAAAAAGGAAAAGAAAAUAUUAUUUUCAAAAAAAUGGUUUGUUUUAUUGGUCAAGAAAAAGGAAAAAAAAAUAAAGAGUUUCAUUUUCAAAUAGUUUGCAGAAAAAGAGUAUAGAAAAAGAGUAUUGUUGUCACAACCCCAACCCGAUCGUGAUGACGUCCAGCACAUUAUUAGGCAACCCCAACCUUGUUACCACAAUUUCCACAAACUUAAUAGAUUUCAAAAGCAAUAACACCAUAUAAUAGGAGUCUGAAUUUACUGAAAAGUUCGGAAAUGACAAAAUACAUGAAAUAGUCCCACUAGGACCCAGUGUCACAAUUCUGAGUCUCUAGAAUACAUAGUGUCGUACCAACAUAAAGUCUGUCUAAGCUGAAAGUGCGAAAAAUAAGAGACAGGGAUGGAAUGAGAAAGUCAAUGGUUACGAAUGCCAUGCAGCUACCUUAACACUCCCGAAAAGCUGUAUCUGCUGAACUGCUGGAUCUACUCAACCUGUGACUGCUCUAGAUCUGCAUACAAGGUGCAGGGAGUAAAGUGAGUACUCCGACCCAGUGAGUAAUACAAAUAAAUACAGUCCGAAGAUAAGAAAACAUAGAAAAUACACAAGGUAAGCUAACAAUACAAUGAUACAAUAAUAUGUGAAACUUACAACUAAACCACAAAUAAAGGUGCGAAUGCAUGAAUGCAAAGCAGUGCAUAUGAUGAUACAAACCAGUACCUGAUAAGGCAUGCAGCCCGAGCCAACCAUGCAUAUGAUUGAUCGUUGAUGGGGCUCACUGGGGGUGUGUACAGAUUCCGGAAGAGCUCCUACAGACCAUGCUCAAUAUACCGAUCAGCCAAUGUUACCAGGCCAAUUUACAUCAUAUAGUGCCAUUGUUACCACUAUUUCAAGUCGCAUCCUAAAGUGUAAUUGUUACCACUAUUUCAAGUCACUGCUGCGGAGCGUAAACCGAUUCAUGCUCAGUUCAGAAAACAUUAUGAAGCAGUAAUCCUCAGCCCGAGAUAUCAUUUAAGAAGUCAUUUAAGCUUUCAAAACAUAGAAAUGUGGCUGAGUUGCAAAACAGUAUAAAACUUUGUACUGAUAUCAAAUGAUAUGCAAAUGCAUGCAUGAACAGAAAUACCAAUCCCCGAAUGAUUCUACAAGUCGGCACAAGACCCCAAACAUGGCAACAAGCCCAAUGAAUAUCAAUAAGGUAUGUGUAUCAGUCACCAAUCUAGUAGGAAUAUCACACGGGAUGGACCAAGCUUAUAUCAAAAUGUUCCUCAUCUCACCACGAGUCUAUAUAUAUAAAAUUCAUCAAAAUCGGAGCUUAAAUAGGCCAUCAAAUCCCAAAUUUUUAUUUCAAAAACCAAGCCCUAGUUCUUCCAUUUUUUACCCAAAUUUCCAAGAAUUUAAGGUUGAUUCUUCAAUAAAAAUGAUGUUUCUAAGUCACGAGACUCACCUCCAAUCAAUUCCCGUCGAAACCCCCUUCAAUCCCUACAAAAAAAGCUCCCAAUGUGUUCAAAAAUGGAGGAAAAAGGAAUAGGCUCGAGGAUGAAAUUUCAUUAAAAAGCUUUCUGUCGAGAUGUAAUUCCUUCUAUGCGAACGCAAGGGUCCUCACGCAUUCGCGAUGACCAAAUUCCACUGAGCCCUCAUUUACUCUAGGCGAAUGCGAUGCCCUAGGUUCUAUGCCUACGCGAACGCGUCCUAUCCUCGCGAAUACGAUGAAUAAACAAACCCCCUUAUGCGAACGCGGUCCACACCUCGAGAACGCAUUGACCAACUUCGGCAAGGCCCCUGGGCCCUUCUACGCGAACGCGGGUCCACCCCCGUAAAUGUGAUGGUAUACUCCAUAGAACAAUGCGAACGCGACCUUGAGCCACGUGAAUGGGAAGACCAUUUUCCAGGCCUCUCAACUUUACUCUACGCGUUCGCAACACAGACCUAUGCGAGCAUGAUGAACAAAACCUCGACAAUUACACAAUCGAAAAGCUCCAAUACUCUAAGUCAAAAAAUCUUCCAUUUAGCCAUCCGAAAUCACCCCGAGGCCCCCGGGACCUCAAGCAAAGGCACCAACAUAUCCCAAAACAUCAUACAAACUUGUUCCAUUCCUAAAAACACAUCCAACAACACAAAAAUCAUUAAAUCACAAUGGAUUCAAGUCUAAGUUAAACUAAUACUUCUGAAACUCGCAUUCGAUCAGAAACCCGACCUAAACACCUUCGAAUCAACUAAUUUUUGCACACACAUCCAAAAUCACUAAUGAAGCUAGUGAAACUCUCAAAAUUGCAUUCCGACCCUCAGAUCAAAAUCUCGCAUAUCAACGGGAUUUCGCCAAAAUCCUAACUUCGCCAAAAUAUGUUAACUUCUACAUCGAACCUCCAAAUUCACUUUCGAUUUCUCUCCUAAGCCUUAAAUCAUCCCCCAAAGCUAUCCGAACCCUCGGAAAUCCAUUCCGAGCCCUCUAAAUCACAAGUCAACAUCUGAUUGACUAUUCCAAACCAAACUUUCACUAAAGAGACUAAUUAUCUUAUUUCAAACCAAACUCUACCCGAAUUACUUAAAAUUCACCAAUCACAUAUAAUGAAACAAGUAGAAGCAUAAAAGGGGAAAACGGGACGAAAACACAUGAGACGACUGGUCGGGUCAUCACAUCCUCCCAACUAAAACAAACGCUCGUCCUCGAGCGAGUCAACAAACAUACCUUAAGUCUCAAAUAGAUGCGGGUAUUUGUUCCGCAUCUCCUUCUCGGUCUUCCAAGUAGCCUCCUUCACGAGCCGACCUCGUCACUGUACCUUCACCAAAGCUAUAUGAUUUGACCUCAAUGUCCAAAUCCAACGACCCAAAAUAGCCACUGGCUCCACAUCAUAAGUCAAAUCAUCAUCCAACUGAACCGUGGUGAAAUCCAAAAUAUGAGACGGGUCCCCAACAUACUUCCGGAUCAUGGAAACGUGGAAUAUCGGACGAACACCCGAUAAUCUGGGUGGCAAAGCAAGCACAUAGGCCACCUCCCCAAUCCUCC
rnacentral:lncRNA from 1 species